UAUACGAUGAACUGCACCAUAAGGAAAGUACGAGCAAAUUAAGGCUUCGCGAUUCAUUCAUCUGUGCUUAGAAAAAAUGUACCGAGGCAGAGGCUUGUGGAUAUAACGAUGUUGCAGACAGGAAGCUUCGGGAUUUUGAAGCACGUGAAGAUGAACUCAGGCGGAAAAUCAUAUCUUUCAAAUCAGAAUAUGUGUUUCUAUGACUACAGUUUACAUGUUUAAUAUUCAAAUGUUACGGAAUCAGCUUGCUUUUUGCUCUUAGAAAUAU
rnacentral:sRNA from 1 species